UAUAUCAUUUCUUGUGUUUUGCCUAAACCUUAACCUCUCAUAGAGAAAGCACCAUGGGCUGGAUCAUCUCGUAUGAACUGAUCUGCUACAAAGGACUUUAAAAGAUAAAGGACUCUUUAGUCCAUUACCAUUUUUCUGAAUCUUUCACACUGUUACAUUAACCUCAUUAAUCAAUCUCAUUAUAAUGCCUCUUUUCAACAGGAAGCAAUCUAAUGGACCCCAAGAAUACGGUCAUUCUGACGCAGCUCAUUCAGGUUCACUUAUCUGAUGAUAGAAAGCAUAGCCAGAAUAUAGCAGGUGUGCAGAAGAAGAUAAGUAGUUCAGAUGUCUAUUUGGAACCACUGGUGGCUGAACAUGCCUGGCUUCUGGCUGUGAUUCUGUGUUGCCUCUUGGGCUGUGGCCCACCAAGGACAAGGAAUUUGGAGCUGUAGGACCAGGUCUGUGAUACUGCCACAAGUUCAGAGCAGCUAAGAGACGUCUGUAGCAAGCACAGAAACUGAAUGAUACAUCUUGCAUCUUGAAGCUGAAGUAAAGGAGAGCAUCCUCCAGAAGAGUGAACUGUAUUCUGCCCUCACAGCUGUUGGUCUUGCAGUCACUGGAAAAGAGAGACCGGCUUUGAUGUCCAUGAAGUAAAUCUCCUUUCUAGCAAGGAUGCUUAUUAAUUCUCAAAACAUCCCUUGGAUUCCUUUACUUUUCUCUCUAAGGACAUCAGGAGUUCCACAUAGUGGAAGAUUCCAAAUUGCAUUGGUUGACCAGUUUUAUUGCAUGGAGAAGGACUUUGACAAAAAUAAUUUCCUUUAGAUCUUAGUCUGGCCAGCCAGAAAAAGUUACAGCUUAUGAUUUCUAAGACUCAGUCCUGUAUGUGUAACACAGGGUUAACAUUUUUUCCCCACCAUGUCUCUGAGUUGUUCUGAGGAUACACCCAUUAAGAAGUAACAGAGAAAAACUACUUUCACUGCACAAUGCAAGGCUACUUUGCUGGGAAUAACAUGGCUGUAGGACACAUGCAGUAUUCUCAGCUGGCCUUGGUAAACUGGCCUAGAACUUCAUAGUGCUGCGGAGACCUGCAGUGUGAUGCUGUGCUGAGCAUACGUGGAGAGAUACGCACUGUGCAUUCAGUGAAGGAUUCAGUUCAGUGGAUUCAGAGGAUACAAGGUGUGCCAAUUCAUGCGGAAUGAGAACAGUAAGGAUGGGCAUGUUUGUCUAUUCGAUUCAUGACUUUAUGAGAUGCUAAGUCCAAUUCUAGGACCAGAGCAAACGUACCAUGGCUGCAUGAUACACAGUGCUGAAACAGUACAUACUUACUCUGCUGUGUCAAAUGCUUUUUAAAGAAGUAAAGGGACGCUCUGUUCUGGCAGAUUGUAUAUCAUGCACAGCCUGCCCGCGCUUCACUGACUUCAUGAUGAGUCAAGUAUGGUCUUUCCUUCCAUAGCUAGUCCGCUGUACAAAUAUAAUGCUUCAAAAGUGCCGUUUUGUGCGCUUUGGCUGAAAAGAUUAUUAAAAUGCGGUUGUAUGUUGGCAUCUGGUCCAGAUGAAAUUUGUAGCAGAGUGACCCAGUAAUGUGCAGGCCAUGUAUCAAGGAUUGUAGAGUCACUGUUGAGGUUCAUCAUUUCCUGUGCAGAGUGUGGUAUGGGUUCCUCAGACAAAACAGCUUGUGAACCUGCAGAUGGAGAUUAUAUCACAGUGCCUUACCUCAAAAAGGGAACAAGCGUUUUAGAGGCAAUUCUAGUCCUAGCAUUUCCUACCUGUGAGUACCCUAUUUUGUGCCUCUGAUAAUGGGGUUUUUGUGUCAUAUGAUUGUAAGUCUACACUUGUGAGCAUUUUCCAUGCAGUACUUGGAUAUUUUGUCUAUAACUCUUUAACAGUGUGCUUUUGUGCCUUCCUUUGCACAACUCUUCCUACUGCUCUGUUUGUAAUCUUUAGUGAUCAGUUCUGCUAUGAAACAAAGCAGCCUAAGACAUGAUUGCUUAAGCAUCUACAAUAAUGAGACUAAAUGUUUUGGCAUUGAGGAGCUACUGUAAACAGAACUUCUUUUGUGACGGAUUUCUACUGGAAGUUAUUGAAAUCUCAUAUCAGUAUUUUUUGUUACGUUUUAAAAUAUACU